AGUCGAGGGGCAGCAUGACUGUAGCAAUACAGUUGAUGGCGACCGGCAAACGGGUGCGGAACACGUACAGAACCUCCCUUCGAGCGGGGAAUAGCCCGGAGAAAUCCGGAUUAAUACCCCAUAGUAUGGUGAAGAGGCAUCUCUUUACUAUUAAAGAUUUAUCACUUGAAGAUGGCUGUGCGGCUGAUUAGGUAGUUGGCGGGGUAACGGCCCACCAAGCCUGCGAUCAGUAACUGGUGUGAGAGCACGACCAGUCACACGGGCACUGAGACACGGGCCCGACUCCUACGGGAGGCAGCAGUAAGGAAUAUUGGUCAAUGGACGAAAGUCUGAACCAGCCAUGCCGCGUGGAGGAUGAAGGUCCUCUGGAUUGUAAACUUCUUUUAUAUGGGACGAAAAAAGGCUUUUCCAGGUCGUCUGACGGUACCAUAUGAAUAAGCACCGGCUAACUCCGUGCCAGCAGCCGCGGUAAUACGGAGGGUGCAAGCGUUAUCCGGAUUCACUGGGUUUAAAGGGUGCGUAGGUGGGUUGAUAAGUCAGUGGUGAAAUCCCCGAGCUUAACUUGGGAACUGCCAUUGAUACUAUUGAUCUUGAAUACCGUGGAGGUCAGCGGAAUAUGUCAUGUAGCGGUGAAAUGCUUAGAUAUGACAUAGAACACCAAUUGCGAAGGCAGCUGGCUACGCGAAUAUUGACACUGAUGCACGAAAGCGUGGGGAUCAAACAGGAUUAGAUACCCUGGUAGUCCACGCCCUAAACUAUGGAUACUCGACAUCAGCGAUACACUGUUGGUGUCUGAGCGA
rnacentral:rRNA from 1 species